rnacentral:rRNA from 1 species
CUACGGGGUGCUGCAGUGAGGAAUAUUGCACAAUGGAGGAAACUCUGAUGCAGCAACGCCGCGUGGAGGAUGACGCAUUUCGGUGUGUAAACUCCUUUUAUAUGUCAAGAAAAUGACGGUAGCAUAUGAAUAAGCUCCGGCUAACUCCGUGCCAGCAGCCGCGGUAAUAUGGAGGGAGCAAGCGUUACUCGGAAUCACUGGGCGUAAAGGACGCGUAGGCGGGAUAGAAAGUCAGGUGUGAAAUCCUAUGGCUCAACCAUAGAACUGCACUUGAAACUUCUAACCUAGAGUAUGGGAGGGGAAGAUGGAAUUAGUGGUGUAGGGGUAAAAUCCGUAGAUAUCACUAGGAAUACCAAAAGCGAAGGCGAUCUUCUGGAACAAUACUGACGCUAAGGCGUGAAAGCGUGGGGAGCAAACAGGAUUGAUACCCGAGUAGUC